UGCUGCAGUAGGAACAGAAUGAGAGAGGACUCAUGGUAUAUUUGUCACUGAGACAAGCAGAGUGGAAACUGUCUCAUUAGCAAGGACAUGAACAGCAGGGCUGCAGUGAGCAAGUGGAUGCCCGUGAGUGAGCAGGUUUUUCAGUUGUGACCAGGAGGAGACAUGCUAUAAAAGCAGCAGUGAGCUGCUGAGAA